GCCCUGGUGGCACAGUGAUUAAGCAUUUGACUGUUAACCAAAAGGCUGGUGGUUCAAAUUCACCAGAGGGUA
rnacentral:tRNA from 1 species